CGAUGUUCUCAGGGCAGGGUGAAAGUCCCUACCGGCGGUGAUAGCCCGCGAGCGCUAGUGACCCUAAAGCGGAUCAUUGGGACAGCAGAUUUGGUGGAAUUCCAGAGCCGACGGUGAAAGUCCGGAUGAAAGAGAGCGGUU
rnacentral:ncRNA from 2 species